CUUAAACAGUGAAGUGUGUAAUGUUUCUUUCCAUGUAUGCUUUUGCUUUAGGAUGUUUAAUGCACAUGGGGCUCAACCACUUAUUGCAUGUAAUACUUUGCCAGAGAAAGGAUAGUGUGACAGUGUGUAUUGCUUUCUAGCUUUUGUAUUGGUAUCGUUCUUUUUAAAUUUCAGAGUGACAACCAUUCAUGUUUUAUUUAUGGCCAUAAGUAAAUUAUUUGAUUAGUACUAGCUGUUGUGCAGCUUUUUUGCGUGGUUAUAUCUGUAAUGCACUAAUGCUUUUUGUUUUUGUUUGGUUUUCUUGAUUUAUCCGUAUUGGGGAUUUCGAGCAAUUAGGACAUCUUGGACACUGAAUGACUUUAUAUCGUGUUCAUCUCUUGUCGCCAUCCUUUCUUGCUUGAUGUUCCAUUUUUAGUGCAUGCCAUAUGUCCGAUAAAAUGCAUGGGAGAAGGACCACUAGCAUGGUUCCUAAUGCAUGGGUGUCCAAGACUAUGUUCCUAACUUUGGCUCCUUGUCAGCUUCACAUAUCGGCUUUACAAUCAGGCUAUUAACUGCUUACUUCUCCAAGUUCAAUCCAUGUUCAUGAGGGUCCUGGAGAGGGAGCUGGCUGUAACUGAGAAGAUCAAAGAGUAUUUCUUUGCAGACUUCACCCAGGAAUUGGUACUGAGCUGGAUGCUGAAGCACUUAAUUACCGUAUGUCGAGUGGCUCAAGAGACAGAAGAUGUACCUUAAAGAAUCUGUCCCAAAAACAGACAGUUGCGUGAAGCAUUUCUGGUUCAUGACACCUUCAUGAUAGGACCAUUAUCGGGUUCAAAUAUCUGGUAGACUAUCAGGUAAUCUUGUCCCAGAAAGUUUUUUUUUAUACACCGUUAGCAUUGAAAUUAGAUGAUAUUACAUGAAAUGGUAGCAUGACUAGAUGUUUGAUGCAAACUGAAAUUCAACACCAAUUUGUGAGUGCAAGUAGACUAUGUACAUCUCUUUGUCCCUGAUUUCUCCAUAUUUAUUUCAACCACUGGUACCAUCAAGUUUGCCUCCUUACUUGCUUGUGGUUUUAUUAGACAGCAUGGGAUGUUAGGCGGGUGGAUAAUGCCAUCUCCUUCUCCCAUGUUAAUUUCUUCUUUAGAUCAUUUUUUUGUUCAUCCGGUUCAGCAUAGUUUGAGGGUUCACUACAGAAUACAAAUAUUUUAGAAAUGAUAUAAUGAGGCUUAAGCUCUGGCAUGUAGACCAGCUUGACCACCAUAAGAGAAAAUGGUAGGGGGGCGAAUAUGUCAUUGUUUAGUUUUAGACAAAUGAAAAGCUUGAUUGUUGCUAAGUCAAGAGAACAUGAUUUAUGAGACCUGGCAUUUGUGUAGUUUUCUGGAUCCAGAUUAUGCUUGACACGGGCAGCCGGAGUCACUACCUCUUAUAUGACCAAAUCCUUAUGCCACUAUUGAUUUGCAUAUCGCAGCAGACACAAAACACUUGCAUGCCAAGCCUAGGACUUGGCCUUUUGGCCAUACGAUGUUGCAAAGCUGAGCAACAUCACUUCUUUUAAUUAGUUUCUCAAGAUCCACCUAUUUCUUUCCUGACCCUUUGGGAUUAGAAUUUUAGCCACUGCAAACCUUCUGCAUUCCUCUGAUUAGUUAGUGCUGGGCGAAAUUUAAGAAGUUCUCUCACAGAUUUUAUUUUGGUUUGCAUGUGCUUUGCCCCUCGGAUCUUGUGACCAUGAUGUGGGUAAGCUCAAGGCUCAUCUGGUGUUUCCCAGUUGAGUAGCUGGGCUGCCUCAUGCAUUCAGGAUUUCAGGUUGCCCCCUCAGUUCUUCUAUUAGCUGCUCUUAGAUGAGGCCUUCAAGCCUCAAGUAUCUCUCUCACACACUGAGUCCCUCUGUUUGUUUUCCUGAGGAAACCUUUUGGCACAUCAUACAGAUUUAUGCUCACUCUUCGACCGUUUAUUGAAUAAUUGCAUGCCUCUGUGUGUAUCCUUGAAUUGAUUCAUUGAUAACUCCACUUCAUGUACUAUUUUUGAGUCCCCGCGAGAUAAUUUUGAAGGCACCUGGAGAUUUGAAUAAUAAUUGCAUAGGUUGCUUCAUGAUCUUGGUGGGCAGUUUCAUAGACUUUUUUUCGAGUCGCCGCAAGAUAAUUUUGAAGCCACCUGGGAUAGUUGAAUAAUGAUCACAUAGGUAAACAUUACCAAGGAAAAUCAAAUUCCUGGACGUCUCAGAAUUCCAAAAAAGAAAAUAACACUCGAGUGUACUAAAUUACAAUUUCUGCUUUUCCUGUGUAUAUAUAUUUUUUAAUGAGAUCCAAUAGUUUUGUCAUAGAAUAAUAUUUUAUUC